rnacentral:rRNA from 1 species
UAGUCCAUGCCGUAAACGUUGGGCACUAGGUGUGGGGUCUAUUCAACGGAUUCCGUGCCGCAGCUAACGCAUUAAGUGCCCCGCCUGGGGAGUACGGCCGCAAGGCUAAAACUCAAAGGAAUUGACGGGGGCCCGCACAAGCAGCGGAGCACGUUGCUUAAUUCGAAGAUACGCGAAGAACCUUACCUGGCCUUGACAUCCUUGGAAUCUUUAAGAGAUUAGAGAGUGCUAGUUUACUAGAGCCAAGUGACAGGUGCUGCACGGCUGUCGUCAGCUCGUGUCGUGAGAUGUUGGGUUAAGUCCCGCAACGAGCGCAACCCUUAUCUUUAGUUACUAACAGGUUAAGCUUGAGGACUCUAGAGAGACUGCCUGGGGCAACCAGGAGGAAGGUGAGGACGACGUCAAGUCAUCAUGGCCCUUACGGCCAGGGCUACACACGUGCUACAAUGGCUAGGACAAUGAGAUGCGAUACCGCGAGGUGGAGCAAAUCUAUAAACCUAGUCCC